rnacentral:rRNA from 1 species
GAGGAUUUAAAUGGCCGCAGUAUUUUGACUGUGCAAAGGUAGCAUAAUUAUUAGUUUUUUAAUUGAAAGCUUGUAUGAAGGGUUGGACGAGAUAAAAUCUGUCUUUAUUUAAAUUAAAGUAGAAUUUAACUUUUAAGUCAAAAGGCUUAAAUGUUAGUAAAAGACGAGAAGACCCUAUAGAUCUUUAUUUAAUUAAUACUUUAAUAAUUUAGGAUUAAUUUAGUUUAAAGUUUUAAUUAAAUUUUAUUGGGGUAAUAUAAAGAUUAAAUAAAUUCUUUUUAUUUAUUACAUUGAUUUAUGAAUAAAUGAUCCAAUAUUAUUGAUUAUAAGAUUAAGUUACCUUAGGGAUAACAGCGUAAUUUUUUUUGGAGAGCUCAUAUCGAUAAAAAAGUUUGCGACCUCGAUGUUGGAUUAAAAAUUAGCUUGGGUGCAGAAGUUCAAGAAUUUGGUCUGUUCGACCAUUAAAUUUUUACAUGAUCUGAGUUCAGACCGGCGUAAGCCAGGUCGGUUUCUAUCUUUAUUUAAUUAAAAUAUUUUAGUACGAAAGGACCAAAUAUUUAAUAUAUUUAUAUUUAUUUUUUGAAUAAUAUUAUUACUUUGGCAGAUUAGUGCAAUGAAUUUAGAAUUCAUGAAUGUAAUUUUAUUACAAGUAAUACUUGUAUUUAGGAGAUUUAUUAUUAAUAGUUUUGUGUAUACUAAUUCUCGUGAUUUGUGUUUUGGUGGGGGUAGCUUUUUUAACAUUAUUAGAGCG